rnacentral:misc_RNA from 1 species
AUCUUUCAAAUAAUCCCUUAAAGUUAAAGGUCAGGACAACUUAAAGAAAAACGAAAUUCCAAAUGAGCUAGACCAGACCUCAGAUGUUCGGAAUCUUUAAGGUUCAUAUAAGAUAGUCACAAUCACAACGUCCAACCCAAGAGUGAGUUUGAAUCAAAAUUACAAAUUAAACCGAACUUUUCACAACUAAAUUGGAAACUUAACAGCUGCUUCAAGAUGAGUUUAGAGCAAAUAUCCCCGGCCGUUUCCCCUCACAGUGAAUGAAUUAUUCCACAAGCACCAUUCUCAAACACAAAGGCAUCCCCCGUCCAGGGGCUUGGUUUUUACAUCGUUAUUCACAAAAGACUGACUGAACUGCAGCUGAUUGGUUCCCAUUAAAAAUUCCAAACAUUCAUCACCAUGAGAAUGUAGCAAGGGAAGUAGAUCAGUGAAUCAAGCAGCGCUAACGGACCUUGAACUCACACUUCCACUUCUCGAUCGACUCCUACCAGAAUACCCUCUCUUGUAGCUAUGCUGUCUCGGGGUAUUGCUGGGAGAGCGACUCCUUGAGCUCCUGCUUCUUUCAGGAGAAAUGCUGUAUGAAUAGCUGCUCCAUGAUCUCCUGCUUCGUUUAGGGGAAAUACUACGUGAAUAACUUCUCCUCGAUUCCAGGGAGGGGCUGCGAGAGUAACUCCUCAAUGUUCUUCUCCUAGGCCCAGGAGAAUAACUCCUGGAAUAAUGUCUAUGAGAAAUCCUUGCCUCUGGUGACAGGCUCCGAGAAACUGACCGAUAACUGUGCCUUCUAUAGUAAGGAUAAGGGGAAUAACUGUCAUAAGGUGAGUAUGACUUAUCACGACCACACCUAUGAUACGGUGAGCGGGAUCGAGAAUAUGACUUAUAAUGCCUGUAGUCUGGAGAAUCAUAUCUACGUCGACUAUAAGAGUACGAUCUAUACUGAUAAGGGGAACCGUAUGAUCUACGGCGUCGGUCAAGGGAAUGGGACCUACUCCUGCUACGGUCAGAUGAAUAAUGAGUAGAGCGGCUAAAGCUUCUCCUAUAUGGAGAGUAGCUGGGAGAACGCCGAGAAGAGUAGCUACGCGACCUACGCCUCACAUGAACUGUUCUAAGUCCAAGAUACCUCCCAGGAGUUGGAGUUCUACCUCUCCGCCUUCGAGCCCCAGUGUUCUGAGACUUCAUGUGUUUGUUUUGUUUGUUAAGUUGUAGUUUGAGUUUGAUGAAGAGCUGCUACAUACAGCUAACCUGCUGCCAAAAAAACUUUUCCACAGUAAUUAUACGACCUUCAAGUACAGAUCGAUUCAGAUAUUUGAUGCAAUUUUCUGCCUCAUCAAUACUAGACAUGGUAAUGAA